GAUGAACGCUGGCGGCGUGCUUGACACAUGCGAGUCGAACGGUGAACGAGGGAGCUUGCUCCCUCCGGAUCAGUGGCGAACGGGUGAGUAACACGUGAGCAAUCUGCCCUGGACUCUGGGAUAAGCGUUGGAAACGACGUCUAAUACCGGAUACGAGGCGUGGGGGCAUCCCCAACGCCUGGAAAGAACUUCGGUCCAGGAUGAGCUCGCGGCCUAUCAGCUAGUUGGUGAGGUAACGGCUCACCAAGGCGACGACGGGUAGCCGGCCUGCGAGGGUGACCGGCCACACUGGGACUGAGACACGGCCCAGACGCCUACGGGAGGCAGCAGUGGGGAAUAUUGCACAAUGGGCGCAAGCCUGAUGCAGCAACGCCGCGUGAGGGACGACGGCCUUCGGGUUGUAAACCUCUUUUAGCAGGGAAGAAGCGAAAGUGACGGUACCUGCAGAAAAAGCACCGGCUAACUACGUGCCAGCCGCCGCCGUAAUAC
rnacentral:rRNA from 1 species